rnacentral:rRNA from 1 species
CCAAGAGCGUAUAUUAAAGUUGCUGCGGUUAAAAAGCUCGUAGUUGGAUUUCAGUCUAGGAAGGUUAACUCGCCGAAAGGUUGUACGUUGAUUUUCCUCAGACUUCGUCAGAAGCUCGUGCUGCACUUAACUGUGUGGUACGAUGUUCUGACCUUUUACCUUGAGGAAAGUAGAGUGUUUCAGGCAGGCUACCCAGCUUGAAUACAUUAGCAUGGAAUAAUGAAAUGGAUCUCGGUUCGAUUUCGUUGGUUCUAGAGCUGAGGUGAUGAUCAAUAGGAACAGGCGAAGGUAUUCGUACUUGAGAGUGAGGAGUGAAAUCCGAUGAUCUCUUAAAGACGAUCCGAGGCGAAAGCAUUUGUCAAGGAUGUUUUCAUUGA